GGGGGUGUACUGGUUUCGACAGGGAUAGUUGUGGCAGCAAUAGCGAGCCGGGAUUCCAUCAGCCCGUCAAUACGGUGGAACGCAAUUAAACGCAAACGAAGAUUACGCUUUAGCAGCUUAAUGCUAACGUUCGCCUCAGAUUCGCCCGUGAUCCGGGGAUGAACGUCACUUAGCGGGAUACCUGAAGCUCAAUUCUCGGAGAGCCGACUGGGAAACUUUAUCGAGAUAGCGGCCAAGAAGCUUGUUUGUGGGCGUCAAGGCGGCGAAAUCUAAAUCGCAAACUGCGCUCGGAGAAGUUGUUGUAGCAAUGUUUCUGGACAGGGGUUCGACUCCCCUCACCUCCACCA
rnacentral:tmRNA from 2 species